CCCUCGAUAGCUCAGUUGGCAGAGCGGAGGACUUAGGUCGCUGGUUCAAAUCCGGCUCGAGGGA